AGAACAGAACAGAAUCUUCAUCAUCACACAAACCAAAAGAACAACAAUGACUUUCAUCAUCAUCUUCAUCUGGACACUCACAGUCUUUACUCAAGUGUGUAGAGGACAGUACACUCUUACUCAGAGUCCAUCAAUAACAGCAGUUCAACCAGGACAACAAGUUAAAAUAAACUGUCAAGUUAGCAGUGCAGUGUAUAAUGGUAAUUACUUACACUGGUACUUACAGAAACCUGGAGAAGCUCCUAAACUCCUCAUAUAUGUUGCAACAACCCUCUACACAGGAACUCCAUCAAGAUUUAGUGGCAGCGGAUCAAACACAGAUUUCACUUUGACCAUCAGUGGAGUUCAGACUGAAGAUUCAGGAGAUUAUUACUGUCAGAGUUAUCACAGUAGCUAUGUGUACACACAGUGAUAAAGAGUGAUACAAAAACCUCUGUCAGUCAGACUGCACAGUGACUGCAUUCAUACACCUGACAGAUACUGCAGAUGAUGAUGCUGAUAGUUUAUUUCACUUUCAGAUUAUUCAUUUGUACUAUAGUAUUUAAAUAACAACAUUAUAGAUAAUUAU